rfam:Glossina fuscipes fuscipes unplaced genomic scaffold Scaffold228, whole genome shotgun sequence.
CCCGCAGUAUAUUUUUGUGUUUUUGUGUCAAUUUAACAAAAGUCAAAUCACAGGAUUAUACUGUGAG